UUUUCGGAUGUGCAUGCACGAGGAACUUCCUUCUUUGGAACUGCUUCUUGCAUGAGCUGUUUCGGAUAUUUCGUCUCCUGGCCUGGCUUAUUUCGUUUCGGUGCUGCUGAGACCUCCUUUCGCGGAAUAUUACUCAAUGACAGUGUGCGAAGAACGCGAGUUCCCCUUCUCGACGAAAAUCGUGGACUAACAGUUUGAAGUCAUUGAACUACUUCCAAGAGUUGUAUCGAC